rnacentral:ncRNA from 1 species
AAGCACAAAGGUUUGGUCCUGGCCUUACUGUUAAUUUUUAUUAGACCUACACAUGCAAGUUUCCGCAGCCCAGUGAGUAUCCCCCUUUAGCUUAUAUGGAGUUUAAAGGAGCGGGUAUCAGGCACACUUCCCAAAGUAGCCCAUGACACCUUGUUUAACCACACCCCCACGGGUUACAGCAGUGACUGACAUUGAGCUAUAAAUGAUAGUUUGACUAAAUCAUAAUAAAAAGGGUCGGUAAAUCUCAUGCCAGCCACCGCGGUCAUACGAUUAACCCGAAUUAACAUAAGAACGGGCAUAAAGUGUGUUUAAGCUUUCAAUUCACCAAAUAAAGUUAAAGCUCAACUGUGCUGUAAUACACCCUAGUUGAUAUUAAAAUACGCAACUUACGUGACUUUACCCCUGCUGAAGACACUAAAGCUAAGGUACAAACUGGGAUUAGAGCCCCCACUAUGCUUAGCCAUCAACUGAGGUAAUUAAAUAACAAAAUUACUAACCAGAGAAGUACUAGCCACUGCUUAAAACUCAAAGGACUUGGUGGUGCGCUAGACUGUCCUAGAGGAGCCUGUUCUAUAAUCGAUAAACCCCGAU